rnacentral:rRNA from 1 species
UAAUACGAAGGGACCUAGCGUAGUUCGGAAUUACUGGGCUUAAAGAGCUCGUAGGUGGUUAGAAAAGUUAGUGGUGAAAUCCCAAGGCUUAACCUUGGAACUGCCACUAAAACUUUUUAACUAGAGUAUGAUAGAGGUAAGCGGAAUUUCUAGUGUAGAGGUGAAAUUCGUAGAUAUUAGAAAGAACACCAAUUGCGAAGGCAGCUUUCUGGAUCAUUACUGACACUGAGGAGCGAAAGCAUGGGUAGCGAAGAGGAUUAGAUACCCUCGUAGUCCAUGCCGUAAACGAUGUGUGCUAGACGUUGGAAACAUUAGUUUUCAGUGUCGCAGCAAAAGCGUUAAGCACACCGCCUGGGGAGUACGACCGCAAGGUUA